rnacentral:rRNA from 1 species
UACGUAGGGUGCAAGCGUUAAUCGGAAUUACUGGGCGUAAAGCGUGCGCAGGCGGCUUUGCAAGACAGAUGUGAAAUCCCCGGGCUCAACCUGGGAACUGCAUUUGUGACUGCAAGGCUAGAGUACGGUAGAGGGGGAUGGAAUUCCACGUGUAGCAGUGAAAUGCGUAGAUAUGCGGAGGAACACCGAUGGCGAAGGCAAUCCCCUGGACCUGUACUGACGCUCAUGCACGAAAGCGUGGGGAGCAAACAGG